CAUGGAGAUCAGCAGAUGACCCAGGAACAGGGAACUAUUCGGCUAAGCUCGACCCAAGCGGCUCACCACAGUACUUUCUGUACAACGGUGCGAAGCGUCAUUGGCGAAGUGUCUCAUGGCCAUGGCCAUGGAGAGCAUUACCGAAUGUGCGCAACUACAGUUUUGUUAACAAUCAAGACGAGGUAUACUUUACCUUCUUUCGAGAUGAAACUUCAAGUAUAGUAAGAAUCAAGAUGGAUUACUCAGGAUCGAUCAAGUGGAGCACAUGGCAUGAAAGUGAAGGCCAAUGGAAGGAGUUCUGGUCGGCACCCAAAUACCAGUGUGAUUUUUAUGGAAACUGUGGUGCUUAUAGUAACUGUUAUCCUAGCAAUGGUCUUACUUUUGAAUGCUCCUGUUUACCUGGGUAUGAACCCAAG
rnacentral:misc_RNA from 1 species